AGAUUGAACGCUGGCGGCAGGCCUAACACAUGCAAGUCGAGCGGCAGCACGGGUACUUGUACCUGGUGGCGAGCGGCGGACGGGUGAGUAAUGCCUAGGAAUCUGCCUGGUAGUGGGGGAUAACGCUCGGAAACGGACGCUAAUACCGCAUACGUCCUACGGGAGAAAGCAGGGGACCUUCGGGCCUUGCGCUAUCAGAUGAGCCUAGGCCGGAUUAGCUAGUUGGUGAGGUAAUGGCUCACCAAGGCGACGAUCCGUAACUGGUCUGAGAGGAUGAUCAGUCACACUGGAACUGAGACACGGUCCAGACUCCUACGGGAGGCAGCAGUGGGGAAUAUUGGACAAUGGGCGAAAGCCUGAUCCAGCCAUGCCGCGUGUGUGAAGAAGGUCUUCGGAUUGUAAAGCACUUUAAGUUGGAGGAAGGCAGUUACCUAAUACGUAUCUGUUUGACGUUACGACAGAAUAAGCACCGGCUAACUCUGUG
rnacentral:rRNA from 1 species